AAAAUCUCACUCUCUCUACUUUUUCUUCUAUCUUUUUCUCUCAACACAAAAAAAGCCCCAAAUCACAUUCAAACUACUCUUCCCUCCAAAAUCAAGAACAACCACCAUCCUCCGAUCACCGACCAACCUCCCUCCUCGCGGCGUACCCUCCGCAGACCAAGUUCCCUCCGCCACCGAGUGGCAUUUCCUUUCCUCCGUCACCGCGUGACCAUACUCCCUCUCUUCUUCUCCAUUUGCAACCUUCUACUAUUUUCUUCAAGAGCUAAUUUCUACAAACUCCAUUGUUUCUUGAAUUUGAAGCUUAAUUCUAGAAUUGUUAAUUGA